rnacentral:rRNA from 1 species
UGCCAGCCGCCGCGGUAAGACAGAGGGUGCAAGCGUUGUUCGGAAUUAUUGGGCGUAAAGCGCGCGUAGGCGGUUUUGUAAGUCGGGUGUGAAAUCCCGGGGCUCAACCCCGGAAGUGCAUUCGAAACUGCAUCACUUGAGUCUCGGAGAGGGUGGUGGAAUUCCUGGUGUAGAGGUGAAAUUCGUAGAUAUCAGGAGGAACACCGGUGGCGAAGGCGACCACCUGGACGAUGACUGACGCUGAGGCGCGAAAGCGUGGGGAGCAAACAGGAUUAGAUA